GACUGCAUGAUCUAGUGGGUUGAGCAUUGGACUAUGACUCUAGAGACCAGGGUUCAAAUCCCUGUUCACCCA